CAGGCCUAACACAUGCAAGUCGAGCGGGGAUGAUGUAACUCGCUACAUUACCUAUCGGACGUGACGGGUGAGUAAUGCUUAGGAAUCUGCCUAUGAGUGGGGGACAACAUACCGACAGGAAUGCUAAUGACCGUAUACGCCUCUCACGGGGGAAAGCAGGGGAUCUGUGGACCUUGCUCUAAUAGAUGAGCCUGAGUCACAUUAUCUAGUUGGUGGGGUAAGAGGCCUACCAAGGCGACGAUCUGUAGCGGGUCUGAGAGGAUGAUCCGCCCCACUGGGACUGAGACACGGACCAGACUCCUACGGGAGGCAGCACUGGGGAAUAUAGGACAGUGGGCGAGAGCCUGAUCCAGCCAUGCCGUGUGUGUGAAGACAGCCUUGAGGUUGUAAAGCACUUCAGGCUACGAGGAGGCU
rnacentral:rRNA from 1 species